GGCAGAGACGACGCAGGCCAACCACCGGCUGGGCCACCAGCUGGCCCAGCCCAAGGGAGGGUGGCCACUGAAGGACCAUUGUCAAGAGAAUCUGACUGUUUCCUCCACAUGAGCCUUUCAGCCCUUAUCACAUGAAAACUUUGAAAAUAACCAGGAAAACCAGGAAGUGAAAGCUGAGCUCCCUGGCUGCUCUUAGGUUGCAUAUCAUUCCUGUUAACUGAUGACUGGGUGCAUGGAGACGUGGACCUCUGCUAGUGGAUGAUUUGCACAUGGAGCCAGGAGAGGAUUCCAAAAGACAAACCGUCCGCCUUUACAUUCCCUUGCAGAACGGUUCACCCGUGCAGAGGAGGAGGAGUCCAGUUUUUAUUGGUGGGAAACAUUAGGGUGAUAUUUCUGCAACAACACUGCCAUCGUGUUUUCAAGAACCCACCUCCUCCCAAGAGUUGGUUAUGUAGCAUUGCCGUAGUUAAAGGAUUAUAACUCUUGACCUUUGCUGGACAAAAGAUGGGGUUGGGGGCCAUGUUAAUGAAUAUCUUAAAAUGCAGCCGCUCUCAACAUCUGUAGAGAAAGGCCUGACAUUAUUGUGGUUGAUAGUUUGUUUUGUGGGUCAGCCUAGGAUGAUCUACGGGCCAGGUGCCUAUCAACUUAAGCUCUAAAUACAUUGGUACCAUAAUGGGUCUAGAAAGCUGUGCACAUCUGUACUGAUAGCAUCUAGCAACUGUUCAAACCAUUAACCUGAUGUGCAGCUCUGGUCAACAUCUGGAGAGCAUUAAAUUUCAGUGGAACGAGGGAGGUAUGUGCCAGUGGACAAGCUCUGCUGGAAUCCAUCAGCCUUCAUCAUCCAUUUAAGGUAAAGUCUGUUUUUAGUUUGACUUCUAGGGACUUAACAGACUUGUCCGUGUUUUGGCUUUUAAAAUCUAGCCUAUAGGCUUCACACUAUUUCCAUCCCAAGUGUGAAGGAGGCCUGAGCCUGCUUAGCUUCUGAGCCAGUAAAAAGCCCAGACAUGGGAUGCC